CCUACGGGGGGCAGCAGUGGGGAAUAUUGGACAAUGGGGGCAACCCUGAUCCAGCCAUGCCGCGUGUGUGAAGAAGGCCCUCGGGUUGUAAAGCACAUUCAGUGAGGAAGAACGCCUGGUGGUUAAUACCCAUCAGGAAAGACAUCACUCACAGAAGAAGCACCGGCUAACUCCGUGCCAGCAGCCGCGGUAAUACGGAGGGUGCGAGCGUUAAUCGGAAUUACUGGGCGUAAAGCGCGCGUAGGUGGCUUGAUAAGCCGGUUGUGAAAGCCCCGGGCUCAACCUGGGAACGGCAUCCGGAACUGUCAAGCUAGAGUGCAGGAGAGGAAGGUAGAAUUCCCGGUGUAGCGGUGAAAUGCGUAGAGAUCGGGAGGAAUACCAGUGGCGAAGGCGGCCUUCUGGACUGACACUGACACUGAGGUGCGAAAGCGUGGGUAGCAAACAGGAUUAGAUACCCUUGUAGUC
rnacentral:rRNA from 1 species